AGUAGGAAUAGGGUGCCUCGAUGUAGCGCGCCGCCGUACAGGGUGGUGACGCCUUUUGGCUUGCGCCGCGCCACCGUUUUGCUCCGCGAUCGCCACACUGGGGUGAGUCGCUUGCUGCGCCCGUUCCUUCCGGCGUUGGUAAAUCAGCACUGUUGGGGAGUUUGCGAAGCUGCUGUGUUUUGCGCCAGGUGCUGGGCGAUUGUAGUGUAUUCAGCCGCAAAAACCAGCGUGCCAGGGUGUUGUGUACCGCGGUGCGUCGGCUCGACAACGAAAGGCAUGCGCUGUUUUCGCUUUCCACGGGAUAAGGAACGAAGAAACGUGAGGCAUAAAAACUGGAAUGCGAAUGAUGACUCGAAGAUCUGCGAGGUGGCGUUUUCGACGUUCUUGCAGUCUGUGGCCCCGGUUGGGAAGACUUGGAGUACUUAGCAUCUCCCGAGUCCGCUUUGCCAUCGCCACCGCCGCCGCCCGCUUCCGGAUCGACCGCCUCGGCUGCACGAAAUGAAGGUAACAGCCUUACCGUAUUCUACUGAGGCCGACAAUGGAGCUCCAAUGAGACGUGCGAUGACAGAAGACGCAAUUGAAAACUAUGUAAGCAUUCGGGCGCACAAGACAAGAGAAUUUCACAAGAAAGAUACAAAGCUCUCCUGACGGAUAUUUCCGUACGUCGCUAAUAUGAAGUUUCAGCUCGGGAGCUCCUACCUAAAUACGGCGCAAAUGUGAAAUCGCUCCUGCCGGAAGGAACUGCGCCAAUUUUUUUUUUUUAUGUGGCACGUUCUAACGCUCGAGUGGGCGGUAGAAUACUCGGCUAAAUCUCUUACGUAACAUCAGGUCUUUCGUAUAAUUCUGCCAGCAUGCCCUCACAAUAAUAAUACGGCUUACUAAUAAAAAGAGAUGUCGUCAUA